rnacentral:rRNA from 1 species
UACGUAGGGGGCAAGCGUUGUCCGGAAUCAUUGGGCGUAAAGAGCGCGUAGGCGGUCCGGUAAGUCCGCUCUGAAAGUCCGGGGCUCAACCCCGGGAGGCGGGCGGAUACUGUCGGGCUAGAGUCCGGAAGAGGCGAGUGGAAUUCCUGGUGUAGCGGUGAAAUGCGCAGAUAUCAAGGAGGAACACCAGUGGCGAAGGCGGCUCACUGGCUCGACACUGACGCUGAGGUGCGAAAGCGUGGGGAGCAAACAGG